rnacentral:rRNA from 1 species
UACAGAGGGUGCGAGCGUUUAAUCGGAAUUACUGGGCGUAAAGCGCGCGUAGGUGGUUUGUUAAGUUGGAUGUGAAAUCCCCGUGGCUCGAACCUGGGAACUGACAUUUGAUACUGAAGAGGCUAGGAGGUGUGAAUUCAGAGGAUAGUUGGAAAUUCCCGGUGUAGCGGUGGAAAAUGCGUAGAGUAGUCGGGAAGGAACACCCAGUCGGCGGAAAGGCGGACUAUCUGGAUCAACGACUGAACACUUG